rnacentral:rRNA from 1 species
AAGUAUAAACGAUUUAAUCGUGAAAACCGCGAAUGGCUCAUUAUAACAGCUAUAAUUUACUUGAUCUUGACACAAUCCUACUUGGAUAACUGUGGUAAUUCUAGAGCUAAUACAUGCAUUAAAGCUCUGACCUCACGGGAAGAGUGCAUUUAUUAGAACAAAACCAAGCGGCUUCGGCUGUUUCUGGUUGACUCAUAGUAACUGAGCUGAUCGCAUGGUCUUGCACCGGCGACGUGUCUUUCAAGUAUCUGCCGUAUCAACUUUCGAUGGUAGUGUAUCUGACUACCAUGGUGAUCACGCGUAACGGAGAAUAAGGGUUCGGCUCCGGAGAGUUCGCCUGAGAAAUCGCGAACACAUCUAAGGAAGGCAGCAGGCGCGAAAAUUACCCACUCUCAGCACGAGGAGGUAGUGACGAAAAAUAACGAGACCGUUCUCUUAUGAGGCCGGUCAUCGGAAUGGGUACAAUUUAAACCCUUUAACGAGUAUCUAUGAGAGGGCAAGUCUGGUGCCAG